UGGCGGCGUGCCUCAGACAUGCAAGUCAAACGCGAAAGAAGCCUUCGGGUUUCAAGUAGAGUGGCGUCCUGGUGAGUAACACGUAGGUAAUCUACCUUCGGGUGGGGAAUAACGCAGGGAAACUUGCGCUAAUACCGCAUAAUGCAGCGGCACCACAUGGUGACAGUUGUUAAAGCGGGGGAUUUUCGAACCUCGCGCCUGAAGAGGAGCCUGCGGCAGAUUAGCUAGUUGGUAGGGUAACGGCUUACCAAGGCGACGAUCUGUAGCCGGCCUGAGAGGGCGGUCGGCCACACUGACACUGACAUACGGGUCAGACUCCUACGGGAGGCAGCAGU
rnacentral:rRNA from 1 species